UACGGGGGGAGCAAGCGUUGUUCGGAUUUACUGGGCGUAAAGGGCGCGUAGGCGGCCUCUGCAAGUCGACUGUGAAAUCUCCGGGCUUAACCCGGAACGGUCAGCCGAUACUGCAGGGCUAGAGUGCAGAAGGGGCAACUGGAAUUCUCGGUGUAGCGGUGAAAUGCGUAGAUAUCGAGAGGAACACCUGCGGCGAAGGCGGGUUGCUGGGCUGACACUGACGCUGAUGCGCGAAAGCCAGGGGAGCGAACGGG
rnacentral:rRNA from 1 species